CAAGUCGAACGNUGAAGGAGGGCUUGCCCUCCGGAUCAGUGGCGAACGGGUGAGUAACACGUGGGCAACCUACCCUUCACUCUGGGAUAACCUCGGGAAACCGGGGCUAAUACCGGAUAUGACCUGGAGCGACAUCACUCUUGGUGGAAAGAAUUUCGGUGAAGGAUGGGCCCGCGGCCUAUCAGCUAGUUGGUGGGGUAACGGCCCACCAAGGCGACGACGGGUAGCCGGCCUGAGAGGGCGACCGGCCACACUGGGACUGAGACACGGCCCAGACUCCUACGGGAGGCAGCAGUGGGGAAUAUUGCGCAAUGGGCGAAAGCCUGACGCAGCGACGCCGCGUGAGGGACGAAGGCCUUCGGGUUGUAAACCUCUUUCAGCAGGGACGAAGCGAAAGUGACGGUACCUGCAGAAGAAGCACCGGCUAACUACGUGCCAGCAGCCGCGGUAAUACGUAGGGUGCAAGCAUUGUCCGGAUUUAUUGGGCGUAAAGAGCUCGUAGGCGGCUUGUCACGUCGGGUGUGAAAACUCGGGGCUCAACCCCGAGCCUGCACUCGAUACGGGCUAGCUAGAGUAUUGCAGAGGAGACUGGAAUUCCUGGUGUAGCGGUGAAAUGCGCAGAUAUCAGGAGGAACACCGGUGGCGAAGGCGGGUCUCUGGGCAAUUACUGACGCUGAGGAGCGAAAGCGUGGGGAGCGAACAGGAUUAGAUACCCUGGUAGUCCACGCCGUAAACGGUGGGCGCUAGGUGUGGGGAACCUUCCACGUUCUCUGUGCCGCAGCUAACGCAUUAAGCGCCCCGCCUGGGGUGUACGGCCGCAAGGCUAAAACUCAAAUGAAUUGACGG
rnacentral:rRNA from 1 species